UGCUAGGCUUGGCCGGGGGGUUAGGCGUCCCCUACACCUGAAAUCGCCUUUACGCAGGGGCGACACCUGGGAGCGGGUUGCAGGUCUUGGCUGGAGCCGCAUGCAGACAAUGAGGGUCUGUCUUGCAGGGUGAGAGAGCACAGGAAAGCAUCUGGAGGGAUGCAGACCUGUGUUAAUCCAUGGGAACCGGGUCAGGCCCUGACGGGAGCAGCCUAACCGUGGAAUCUUUACGCUUGCGAGGGUGCGGACCCGAGAAAACAUGCGGGACACUUCAGUUGAUGUACCUGCUCACAAUCCCAGGGGCCUAGCA
rnacentral:SRP_RNA from 1 species